rnacentral:ncRNA from 2 species
UUGCACAACUAGGGGAGCCUAUAGUGAUAGGCUGAGAAAGAGAUGUUAUCUCUGACCCUUAUAACCUGAUGUGGGUAAUGCCAUCGUAGGGAAGUUUGUGUUUGUAAUU